ensembl:misc_RNA Y_RNA Y RNA
GGCUGAUUUCAGUGCAGUCGUGUUAAAAACUAAUUAAUCACAGCCAAUUAUAGAAUUCUUUGUUCCUUUUCCAGUCCCUGUGGUCACUUAGCUAGUCUUUC